rnacentral:snRNA from 1 species
GCAUGUGAGGUCAAUGUGCCUGUGAUUUUAUCGCCCUUUGCUCUCUGCUAAGCUGGAGAAGCAGGUAUCACCUUUCUCCCUCAUACCUCCAUGUGCAUCCCUCCUGAGUCUGUGCACUCAAUCAAGAGGUUGGCCCUCACCGAUAGAAGAGAGCCGACAUUCUUUCUCCUCAGCUAGAGUCUCCAAACAAACUCUUGCAAGUAGCCAUAAAAAUGGCUGGGCAGUGUAAUACCUGCAACCUACAUGCAGCCUCCACCUUCAAACAUGGAUCUCU